rnacentral:snRNA from 1 species
GUGUUCGCUUCAGCAGCGCGUGUACUAAAAUUGGAACGAUACGGGGAAGAUUAACAUGGCCUCUGCGCAAGGAUGACAUGCAAAUUCGUGAAGCGUUCCGUAUUUUU